rnacentral:rRNA from 1 species
AACGCGAAGAACCUUACCUGGGCUUGACAUGUUCCUGACAGCCGUGGAAACACGGUCUCCCUUCGGGGCAGGAUCACAGGUGGUGCAUGGCUGUCGUCAGCUCGUGUCGUGAGAUGUUGGGUUAAGUCCCGCAACGAGCGCAACCCCCGUCGCAUGUUGCCAGCAUUUAGUUGGGGACUCAUGCGAGACCGCCGGUGACAAACCGGAGGAAGGUGGGGAUGACGUCAAGUCAUCAUGCCCCUUAUGUCCAGGGCUACACACGUGCUACAUUGGCGCGUACAGAGGGUUGCGAUACCGCGAGGUGGAGCGAAUCCCUUAAAGCGCGUCUCGGUUCGGAUUGCAGGCUGAAACCCGCCUGCAUGAAGGCGGAGUUGCUAGUAAUCGCGGAUCAGCACUGCCGCGGUGAAUACGUUCCCGGGCCUUGUACACACCGAGACGUA